rnacentral:misc_RNA from 2 species
AACGCACAUUGCGCCCGCCAGUACUCUGGCGGGCAUGCCUGUUCGAGCGUCAUUUCAACCCUCAAGCCCUGCUUGGUGUUGGGGCCCUACGGCUGCCGUAGGCCCUGAAAGGAAGUGGCGGGCUCGCUGCAACUCCGAGCGUAGUAGAAUGCUAUCUCGCUAGGGAGGCUGCGGCGGCGCUCCGGCCGUUAAAGACCCAUCUUUAACCCAAGGUUGACCUCGGAUCAGGUAGGAAUACCCGCUGAACUUAA